rnacentral:rRNA from 1 species
UACAGAGGGUGCGAGCGUUGUCCGGAAUCACUGGGCGUAAAGGGCGCGUAGGUGGCGCGACAAGUCAGUGGUGAAAGCUCGACGCUCAACGUCGAGUCGGCCACUGAUACUGUUGGGCUUGAGCACUGUAGAGGCUAAUGGAAUUCCGGGUGUAGCGGUGGAAUGCGUAGAGAUCCGGAAGAACACCGGUGGCGAAGGCGGUUAGCUGGGCAGUUGCUGACACUGAGGCGCGACAGCGUGGGGAGCAAACAGG